GCAGUCGAGCGAGCGGAACAACAGAUUUACUUCGGUAAUGACGUUGGGAAAGCGAGCGGCGGAUGGGUGAGUAACACGUGGGGAACCUGCCCCUAAGUCUGGGAUACCAUUUGGAAACAGGUGCUAAUACCGGAUAAUAAAGCAGAUCGCAUGAUCAGCUUUUGAAAGGCGGCGUAAGCUGUCGCUAAGGGAUGGCCCCGCGGUGCAUUAGCUAGUUGGUAAGGUAACGGCUUACCAAGGCGACGAUGCAUAGCCGAGUUGAGAGACUGAUCGGCCACAUUGGGACUGAGACACGGCCCAAACUCCUACGGGAGGCAGCAGUAGGGAAUCUUCCACAAUGGACGCAAGUCUGAUGGAGCAACGCCGCGUGAGUGAAGAAGGUUUUCGGAUCGUAAAGCUCUGUUGUUGGUGAAGAAGGAUAGAGGUAGUAACUGGCCUUUAUUUGACGGUAAUCAACCAGAAAGUCACGGCUAACUACGUGCCAGCAGCCGCGGUAAUACGUAGGUGGCAAGCGUUGUCCGGAUUUAUUGGGCGUAAAGCGAGCGCAGGCGGAAAAAUAAGUCUAAUGUGAAAGCCCUCGGCUUAACCGAGGAACUGCAUCGGANACUGUUUUUCUUGAGUGCAGAAGAGGAGAGUGGAACUCCAUGUGUAGCGGUGGAAUGCGUAGAUAUAUGGAAGAACACC
rnacentral:rRNA from 1 species